UCCCCGCGCCGCGCCUCGAAGCCACGCCCCCGGGAAGAGCCGCCAGGCGCAGGCGGGUUGUUCUUUCUGACCCGGGUGACCCUUGGGCCUGGGCGCGGGGACACCGAGGUGGGUGUGGCGGGUGCCAUUGUCGCUCUCCGACCGCAUGGUUCCCUGUGGUCGUCCAGCAGGGCAGGUGGCGCCGUGGACCGCGCUAGUCUCUUAGCUGGGCAGUUCAGAAAUGCAAGCUUUAUUUUACCUGAGGGUUUAUUGCUUGCAGUGCAAUGACUCCCCCAAGUUAGAUAUAAACAUGGCGUAGGUGUGGUUAGCCUUUCUUCUCCAUAUUUAUAUAUAUAUAUUUAUGGCCACACCUUCGGCAUAUGGAAGUUCCCCAGGCCGGGGACUGAAUCCCAGCCGCAGCGGUGGCAAUGCCGGAUCUUUAACCCACUGCUCCUGGCAGAGGAUCCACCCUGCACCAUGCAGGACCCCAGCCGCUACAGGGGACCCUUAACCCACUGUGCCCCAGCGGUAACUCCCCUCUAACUAUUGAUCCUGCCUUCUCACCACGGCCACUGCUGGAUUCGGAGGAGCCUGUCCACACCUCAACUCCAUCCGGGAGAGUCCCUCCACCUUGGCUAAGGCUGGAGAUUCAUUCUGGUCACAAGAUACAUGGGCAAAACAGAUUCCCCCAUGAAAUUGUGCCCCAAAGGAUUUAAAAAAAAAAAAAGUCAUAUAAGAUUAACAGAAGCUUCUGUUAGGUGACUAACAGAAAUUCUUGAGCUUCCCUAAUAAAACAGCAGCUGAGGGAACAGCUGGCCAGAAACUAACCGGCUUUUAACCUGCCUUCACUGACCAAACUCAACUUAAUUACUUUGGACCCCUUAACACACCUCCCCCCAUAGAUAACCCUGUGACCUAUAGUGACAGAGGCUUUAGUGGUUUUCCCAGAGUUGGGAGUGGGCUUCUGUCAGGUUCAAGCCAGCUCAGACUGGUUGGAAUCACCAAGACCGAAACCGGGCCUGUGCCAUUUGUCGUUGGAGCUAAGAGGGCUGAAGACUCCAAACUCAGAUCAUGCUAAGGGCUUCCAUUUUUGAUGUGGCUCCCAUGAGGAGUCGUGUGACUCAGCCUUUCCCUGCCUGCAACCUCCUUUCCCCGCACCUAAGACCACCUGCUUCCUCGUCCCAUCGUCAUCGCAAGCCCGUCACCUUUGGGGAAGUGGAUUUCGGAUUUGUUCUCCCAUCUCCUCAAUGGACAGUCGCCUUGCGAAUAAACCCUCCCUCUGAUGCACACCUCGGGGUCUCAGCGUGUGGUUUGCUGCACGUUGGGCAGAUACGAGAAGAUGCAAGAAAUUGAGCUCAUCAGAUCUCCUGAAGACAUCUAACUCUCUGAAGACCUGUUCUGCCAGUUUUUCCCAGAGCGCCUCACGCCUGAUCUCUGCCCUGAACUCGUCGCAGGGGCUGGAAGGAGCUGGUGUUGUCACUGCUGUGGCGCUGGUUGGAUCCCUGGCCCGGGAACGUCUGCAUGCUGAGGGCGUGGCCAAGAACCCAAAAAGGUAACUGGAUUCCUGGAGCAUCAUGUGGACGCAGUGAUGGGUCCUGAACUCAGCGGUGUUCGGGCACAAGAGGAAAAUAAAAAUACUCCGCUAUCGCACCUUCCAUACACACGCCCUCACUGUGCAUGCUGAGCUAACACGCGCGUUCUUUGUAAGCCUCAAAGGAAAUGCAUUAUGGUAGUAGCCUAUGUAGAUGAAUACAGUUGAAUUAUGGGUUUUGACAAUUUUUUCAAAGCUUUCAGUAACGGUGUCGUUUUCAAAUAUUGUUUAGAAUGACCAUGUAUAGUAUACUUUACUAGGUUAGUAAGACAAGUUUUUUUUACAAAAGGAUAGAAACAAGAGGUUGCUCAGCAAACAGGAAAAGUAAAUUUAAAGUGCUUAUAUAAAGAAAAAUAAGGACCUAAGGAAAGUUGAAGUUAUGUUGGAUAUAUAUAAACUGCGUUGUUUUUUUUUUUCUUUUUGGC